rnacentral:lncRNA from 10 species
UGAGCUCAGUAAAUCUACAUUUUACAUAAGAUAAACGUAUGAAAAGAGGGAGUAGAGGAGUCCAUGUUGCAUUCAUCUCAAGCCCAGUAAAUCUACAUUUUACAUAAGAUAAACAUGAAAAGAGGGAGUAAAGAGUCCAUGAUGCAUUCAUCUUGAGCUCAGUAAAUCCACAUUUUACAUAGGAUAAACAUGUGAAAAGAGUAGAGGAGUCCAUGAUGCAUUCAUCUUGAGCUCAGUAGAUCUACAUUUUACGCAAGAUAAAGUAAACUUGAAAAGGAGUAGAGUCUGUGAUGCAUUCAUCCUAAGCCCAGUGAAUCCACAUUUUACAUAAGAUAAACGUGAAAAGAGGGAGUAAAGAGUUUAUGCUGCAUUCAUCUUGAGCUCAGUAAAUCUGCAUUUUACAUAACAUAAAGUAAACAUGAAAAGAGGGAGUAGGGGAAUAGGGCCAUGCUGCAUUUAUCUCAGGGUAGGUGGAAGGAUGAUUUACGAUCUUGUCCUUGUCCUAUCCAUGUGAAAAUAAGCUGGUAAUCGACAUUGUCAGUGUGAGAUUUAACAGAACUUGCUUUUAGGGCUAGUUUAUAGGGGGAGAUGUAUCCUGAAAGAAUUAGGGGCUCACUUUGUGAGCAACUUGUGAGGGAGCCAUCUGGGAAGAUACGUAACGUUCUGUCUUGGUGGGCACCUGGCUUAUGCAUGAGGCUAGAACAUGGGGUUAUGAAAAUACAGCUCUCCAUUUGGGAACAAAAGGGAAGGCAGUAUUGCAUGACUCAGUUUCCAAGCUUGACUUUCUCUUUGGCAUAGUGAGUUUGGGGUCCUGAGAAUUUACCUUCUUUCACAAUACAAACAUGCUGGUGUAUGGAUCCUGUCUUUAAAACGAACUUUCAGUAUGGAUGGCAAACGAGCACAUGAAAAGAUGCUUAACGUUAUUCAUCAUUAGAGAAUGCAGAUUAAAGCCACUGUGAGGGCCCAGGGGCACACGCCUGCAGUUCCACCCACUCAGGAGGCUGACGCAGGAGGAUCACUUGAGCUCAGGAGUUUGAGGCUGUAGUGUGCAAUGUUCGUGCCUGUGAACAGCCACUGUACUCUAGCCUGGGUAACAUAGCAAGACCCUGUCUCUAAAAAAAUUUUUUUAAAUUAAAAAGUAGGCCGAGUGUGGUGGCUGAUGCUUGCAAUUUCAAUGCUUUGGGAGGCCGAGGUGUGAGCCAUCAUACUUACCCAUAACAUGCUCAUAUUUUCAUUUACCUUCUUGAACAUACCAAAUAGUUGUAGUAAGUGUUUUAAUCUCUUUAUUAGUUCUAU